UACGGAGGGAGCCAGCGUUGUUCGGAAUUACUGGGCGUAAAGCGCACGUAGGCGGCUUUUUAAGUCAGGGGUGAAAUCCCGGGGCUCAACCCCGGAACUGCCCUUGAAACUGGAGAGCUAGAAUCUUGGAGAGGCGAGUGGAAUUCCGAGUGUAGAGGUGAAAUUCGUAGAUAUUCGGAAGAACACCAGUGGCGAAGGCGACUCGCUGGACAAGUAUUGACGCUGAGGUGCGAAAGCGUGGGGAGCAAACAGG
rnacentral:rRNA from 1 species